AAAGGAAAAGGAAGCGAACCCUCCUUCCCCUUCCUAUCGUGCACUCUUCUUCCUCCUUCCCCCCUCCCCAAAUAUCCACAGAGAAGGCAGGAGGACCAAACCCUAGCCGCCGCCGACCCGAUCCCAUGGCGCCGUCCCCGUCCCCGCCGCCGGCGGCGAGCGGAGCGCAGUACGCGCACCAGUUCCUCAACACCGCCCUCUCCCAGCGCGGGCCGUCGGCGCUCCCCUACGCGGAGGACGUCAAGUGGCUCAUCCGCAACCACCUCGUGGCCCUCGCCGACGCCUUCCCCUCGCUCCACCCCAAGGCGGCCCUCUUCACCCACAACGACGGCCGCGCCGCGCACCUGCUCCAGGCCGACGGCACCGUCCCCAUCCACCACGCCGGGGCCACCUACAACCUGCCCGCCGUCAUCUGGCUGCCCGAGACCUACCCGCGCUCCCCGCCCCUCGUCUUCCUCUCCCCCACCCGCGACAUGCUCAUCAAGCCCCACCACCCGCUCGUCGACCGCUCCGGCCUCGUCGCCAACGCGCCCUACCUCCGCUCCUGGGUCUUCCCCUCCUCCAACCUCCUCGACCUCGUCAGAUCCCUCUCCCACCUCUUCGGCCUCGACCCGCCGCUCUUCACCAGAUCCGUCGCAGCCCCGUCUCCCACUCCUCCUCCCGCUCAUCCUCCUCCUCCUCCCGCCGCCGCCUCCCCCGCCAUGCGCCCCGAGGCCGUCUAUGCUCCUGCCCCUCGCCCAUACAGGUUCCCGGCAUCGCCCCAGCUCGCCGCGCGCCAGCCGCCCACAGAGGACCCAGCCGAGGUCUUCAAGCGCAACGCCAUCUCCAAGCUCGUCGACACUGCCUAUGCUGAUGCUGCUGCCCUGCGCACCGCCCAUGAGGCUGAGGUCGACUCCCUCUUCGCCGUGCAGGCCGAGCUGCGUGGCCGGGGGGAGGCGGUGAACGACGGGGUGCGCAGGAUCACGGAGGAGAAGGAGACGCUCGAGCGCCGGCUUCAGGACGUGGUGAUGGCCACUGACGUCAUUGAGGCUUGGGUUGCCGAGAACCGCAAGGGGGCUGCUGAUGACACCGCCGAGGCGGAGGGGGCUAUCCAGCCGGCCGAUGUGCUGUCCAGGCAGAUGCUUGAGUGCACAGCUACUGAUUUGGCGCUCGAGGACACCAUCUAUGCGCUUGACAAGGCUGUGCAGGAAGGAUCGGUGCCGUUCGACGGCUACCUCAGGAGCGUGCGCGCACUUGCACGGGAGCAGUUCUUCCAGCGUGUCCUCUGCACCAAGGUUAACAAUGCGCAGCAGCAGGCACAGGUUGCUAGGAUGGCAGCACGGGCACCACAGUACGCCUCCUAGCCAAGAUGAUGGAUAGGGCUCGGUGGCGUGUUCAUCAAUACCCCCAACUGCUGUGGCAUCAACCGUUCCUGAUAUAAUUCAGACUGUCUUGUCCAGGCGAUCCAGGAUGCUUUCCUUUGAUAAAAAAUCAUCUGUGCCAUCUCAUAUGAGUGAUCUUGCCCCCACAGUGUUCUGGAUAUACAGAUCACGUUGAUAAAGUGACGAGACCCUGGACAAGAUUCAUGGAACUUAUUUUGGGAGUUCAGCCCUGAGUUCACGGUGUUCAAGAUGCAGGUGUGGUGAAACCGAAGAACAGUGUUCUAGACGUUUUUACUUGUAUGAACAGUGGUACUAUUGGUGCGUUCACUGGGGUUUACAACAAGUCCCACUCAGCCAGGCUUGGACCUUUGCUGUUCCAGAUGUUUUACCAGAAAAAUGUAUUCCUUGGUACAGUUUCUGCCUAAAUCUUGAUAAUAGGCAGCUUCAUUCAAUCAUUUGAGGAUUGUUCAAUACAAACAUGGCCCUGAUAAUACCAGGAGACACAUUAAACCAGCAGGGCCCUUCAUCAUGGUCAGCUGACUUUGCUAGAACAUGAGCUGCCUCAUUACAAGAACAACUAACAUGAGUACAGCUACAGGAUAUGAACUUUGGAGCCCUACUCUCAAUAUCAAAGACCUUGGGCAACUAUGUGAGAUCUGUCCUCCCCACUCUUCACCUUACUCAUCAAACUAGCACAAUCGGAAGCAACAAUAAUCUGUUGGAAGCCAGUUUCUUCAGCAAAGGCUAGAGCAUGGUGCACUGCAAUAGCUUCACCCAACUCUGGAUUAUCUACAUGAUCAAAUCUUCUGCUUGCAGCUAACACCAGAUCCAGACGGCUGCGGAUGACAACACCAAUGCCCAUGCCGGUCUGGGCGAAAAUCCAAAUCCAGACUUGGGUGAAGGGUGAGGCAUUUUCCUACCAUUUCUCAUACUGUUCCGAUUCUCCCAAAUGUGCCAAAUUGCAACAGCAUGAGGCAUUAGAAAUCCAGUUUGAUAGCCAUUGUUGCAUAUGGACAAAGCUUUUUAGAUUUAUUGAUAUAUAUAUAUAUCAGAUGAUCUCUUUAGAUCCGCCCAGAUUUCUUUGA